AAAGUUGCAAAGAACUUUGAAGAGAGAGUUUAAGAGGGCGUGAAACCGUUUGGAAGCAAACAGGUGGAGCCAAAGGCAGUUGGUUAGGUUCAGCCGCUUGUCCUGUUAGCACUUUGUUGUUGUAACUGUCAUGGUGCACAACAUUGUGCUUGCUUGGCAUGAGGUGCUUUCCUGAUCAGCAGACACUGGCGUCCAUUGGUUGCCUGUCAGAAACUGGUGCAUUGCCAGCAAGCCUGUUCAGGUUUGAAGAGAAUGUGCCGGUAGUGAUGGGGCGACCACUGGGUUAAUGCAUGCGCAGUGCGUGUAAGCUGUUAGGGUAUGUGGGUAGUGAUAGGUGCGUGCUAGUAUGAGCCUGUCAUUGCUGAUGUACACUGAUGGUGGUUCACGACCAUGUAGCUGGUGAUUUUUGGCCCCCCACCUGACCCGUCUUGAAACACGGACCAAGGAGUCUAACAUAUGUGCGAGUCAUUGGGUGGCAAACCCACAGGCGUAAUGAAAGUGAUAGACGUGAUCUGGACACGUAGUGUGCAGCGCAACGUCACCCCAUUUUAUCCGCUUAUGUCGGUGGAGUGGAGGUUGAGCAUAUAUGUUAGGACCCGAAAGAUGGUGAACUAUGCCUGAGCAGGAUGAAGUCAGAGGAAACUCUGAUGGAGGUCCGUAGCGGUUCUGACGUGCAAAUCGAUCGUCAGACUUGGGUAUAGGGGCGAAAGACUAAUCGAACCAUCUAGUA
rnacentral:rRNA from 1 species